rnacentral:rRNA from 1 species
UUUAGCUGCCAGCUAGCUCUCCAGAACACUCACAUUACUGCCCACUGAAGCUAAGCAGGGCUGCAUAUGGUCAGUACCUGAAUGGGAGACCACAUGGGAAAGUGAGGUUGCUGCCGAAA